CUUGAUCCUUUGUUUUGUGUAAUCACUAUCAAUACUCAAAUUCAAUUUAUUAGAAUUAAAUGCAAUUUGUUUAUGAUAAUCAAAAUCAGAAGUCAACCAUUAGGCCAACAAAAGUAACUAUAGCAUUGGAAGCAAUGACAUUUUGGACUUCAAAAUCUUCUUCAGUAACUUCGUCCUCAAUCUCAAUUGCUUGGCUUCCCUCUGUUAGAGCCUGCGGUUCAUUUCCCUCCUUUAAGAAUUCUGACCUUGGCUCAGAGAUCUUGAAGGUCUGAAGGUUGGUCUCUAUUCACUCUACCUCUCUGUGUAGGCGUACCUCUGUCAGAAUGCACCAAAGCUUUGGUACACCUUCGUCAGAUGGAAAUUGGCGAUAUAGUAUUUCUUAGCUUCAUUUUCGACAGAUUCAACCUCCUUUCCCGCCAUCUCCACCUCUUCCACCAAACUAGUAACUUCGGAGUUCAGCUGCCUUACUUGCUCUUUUAGAACAACAUUCUCCUUAUUCACCAACUCUAGGGCCUUAACAGCAAGGCGUUUGUGACGCCCCGAACUUAGGCUUCGGGGGUCACAUACUAAACAUAGUAACUUCUGCCUUUGGUACAUGUAAAUACUCUUAAAUAGAAGUAUUACAUGUUAGAAAACUAUUUUCAAUUUGGUAAAAUAUCUCUCAUGAAAUUUAAUGGCCAGCAGAAGUGCAUGUCGACGUGGAAUUAAACUUCACAAAAAAAGGACUCGGUACUGCCACAGUUAGUUAGGGCAGCAAGUUCAACUAUUUUUAUAAAAUUCAUCCCAACUCCGUUUUCUAUGAAAUUUGCGGCAUUAGAAAUAUAAUUUCAAGUAGUUUCCUAGGUUAAAAUAUGAGAAUUUUUUGAGAUCAUAUAGUAUGGACGUUUUACUGAAAACAGUGUAGUGUUGCACAGAAAAUCCAGAUUGACUCUUCAACGUUUAAAAAUUCAUAUCUCAGGCCACGGACAUCCAAAUUGAGUGAUUCUUGCG
rnacentral:lncRNA from 1 species